UAAAGCAAGAAAGGGCGUAUGGGGAAUGCCUAGGCACACUCCGGCGAAGAAGGACGCAGCAAACAGCGAAAUGCGACGGUGAGCGGUAAGCACGUGAAGAGCCGUCGAUAUCCGAAUGGGGGAACCCACACGGAGUCAUAUCCGUGUAUCACAUGUCGAAUACAUAGACAUGAUGAGGCGAGACGCAGGGAACUGAAACAUCUAAGUACCUGCAGGAAGAGAAAAUAAGAAUGAUUUUCUGAGUAGCGGCGAGCGAAAGGGAAAGAGCCCAAACCGAUCUGAGGAUCGGGGUAGUAGGAUCAUCGAUAAAUCAAACAGAGGAUCAUAGAGGAAUCACAUGGGAAGGUGAGCGAGAGAGGGUGAGAGCCCCGUACUCGAAAUGAGAGACUGGAGAGAGAUGACACCUGAGUAGGGCGGGACACGAGAAAUCCUGUCUGAAUCAGCCGGGACCAUCCGGCAAGGCUAAAUACGAGAGAGUGACCGAUAGUGAACCAGUACCGUGAGGGAAAGGUGAAAAGAACCCCGGGAGGGGAGUGAAAGAGAACCUGAAACCAUAUGCCUACAAGAAGUCAGAGCCCGUUAAAGGGUGAUGGCGUGCCUUUUGUAGAAUGAACCGGCGAGUUACUGUAUGGAGCGAGGUUAAGCAGGAUAUGCGGAGCCGAAGCGAAAGCGAGUCUUAAGAGGGCGCGAGUUGCAUGCAGUAGACCCGAAACCGGGUGAUCUAGCCAUGACCAGGUUGAAGUUGGGGUAAAACCCGAUGGAGGACCGAACCGACCCCCGUUGAAACGUUGGCGGAUGAGUUGUGGCUAGGGGUGAAAUUCCAAUCGAACCCGGAGAUAGCUGGUUCUCCCCGAAAUAGCUUUAGGGCUAGCGUCGAGAGAAGAGUUGCGUGAAGGUAGAGCACUGAAUAUGUGAUGGCCCCAUCUCGGGGUACUGAGCAUAAUCAAACUGCGAAUGUCACGAGAACAUGCUCGGCAGUCAGACAGCGGGUGAUAAGGUCCGUUGUCAAGAGGGAAACAGCCCAGACCAUCAGCUAAGGUCCCAAAAUGUAUGCUAAGUGGAAAAGGAUGUGGAGAUGUACAGACAACUAGGAGGUUGGCUCAGAAGCAGCCAUCCUUUAAAGAGUGCGUAACAGCUCACUAGUCGAAUGACUCUGCGCCGAUAAUUUACCGGGGCUAAGCAUACUACCGAAGCUAUGGAUCCCAAGGGAUGGUAGGGGAGCGUUCCAUGAACGGAGAAGUACGACCGAAAGGACGUGUGGAGAUCAUGGAAGAGAGAAUGCCGGUGUGAGUAGCGGAACGUGGGUGAGAAUCCCACGCACCGAAAACCCAAGGUUUCCAGAGGAAGGUUCGUCCGCUCUGGGUAAGUCGGGACCUAAGGCGAGGCCGAAAGGCGUAGUCGAUGGACAACAGGUAGAGAUUCCUGUACCCGUAUAUAUGUGAAGGAAUGACGGAGAGAGGAAGCUGCAGCCAGCGGCUGGAAGAGCUGGUGCAAGCGAGAUAUCGGGAUGGCAGGCAAAUCCACCAUCCGAAACGAGAAGGCGUGAAGCGUACGGAAAGCUACGGCGAGUACGGAAGGCAGUGGAGGAACUUCCAAGAAAAGUUUCUAACGUUAAGUAUAUAUGGCCCGUACCGAAAAUGGACACACAUGGGUGAGGAGAGAAUCCUAAGGUGAGCGAGAGAACUAUAGCUAAGGAACUCUGCAAAAUGACUCCGUAACUUAGGGAGAAGGAGUGCUCAUAGAGAUAUGAGCCGCAGUGAAACGGCCCAAGCGACUGUUUACCAAAAACACAGCUCUCUGCUAAGCCGCAAGGCGAAGUAUAGGGGGUGACGCCUGCCCGGUGCUGGAAGGUUAAGGGGAGGGGUUAACGCAAGUGAAGCCCUGAACUGAAGCCCCAGUAAACGGCGGCCGUAACUAUAACGGUCCUAAGGUAGCGAAAUUCCUUGUCAGGU
rnacentral:rRNA from 1 species